rnacentral:rRNA from 1 species
AACGAACGCUGGCGGCAUGCCUAACACAUGCAAGUCGAACGAGACCUUCGGGUCUAGUGGCGCACGGGUGCGUAACGCGUGGGAACCUGCCCUUAGGUUCGGAAUAACUCCCCGAAAGGGGUGCUAAUACCGGAUAAUGUCUUCGGACCAAAGAUUUAUCGCCUUUGGAUGGGCCCGCGUUGGAUUAGCUAGUUGGUAGGGUAAAAGCCUACCAAGGCGACGAUGCAUAGCUGGUCUGAGAGGAUGAUAAGCCACACUGGGACUGAGACACGGCCCAGACUCCUACGGGAGGCAGCAGUAGGGAAUAUUGGACAAUGGGCGAAAGCCUGAUCCAGCAAUGCCGCGUGAGUGAUGAAGGCCUUAGGGUUGUAAAGCUCUUUUACCCGGGAUGAUAAUGACAGUACCGGGAGAAUAAGCUCCGGCUAACUCCGUG